rnacentral:rRNA from 1 species
UCGAACGAAUCCCAGCCGGGCAACCGGCUGGGGGAAGUGGCGAAAGGGGCAGUAAGGCGUGGGUAACCUACCCCGGGGUCCGGCAUAGCCGUCCUAACGGACGGGUAAUUCCGGGCGACGUGACCGAGGGGCCUCUCUUGGUCACCAAAGGUUUACCGCCCCGGGAGGGGCCCACGUGGUAUUAGCUAGUUGGUGGGGUAACGGCCCACCAAGGCCGAGAUGCCUAGCGGGUGUGAGAGCACGACCCGCGCCACUGGCACUGAGACACUGGCCAGACUCCUACGGGAGGCUGCAGUCGAGGAUCUUCGGCAAUGGGCGCAAGCCUGACCGAGCGACGCCGCGUGCGCGAUGAAGGCCUUCGGGUUGUAAAGCGCUGUCGAGGGGGAGGAAAGCCGCAAGGCCUGACCGACCCCUGGAGGAAGCACGGGCUAAGUUCGUGCCAGCAGCCGCGGUAAGACGAACCGUGCGAACGUUG